rnacentral:rRNA from 1 species
CGAGCGAGCGGAACUACAGAUUUACUUCGGUAAUGACGUUAGGAAAGCGAGCGGCGGAUGGGUGAGUAACACGUGGGGAACCUGCCCCAUAGUCUGGGAUACCACUUGGAAACAGGUGCUAAUACCGGAUAAGAAAGCAGAUCGCAUGAUCAGCUUUUAAAAGGCGGCGUAAGCUGUCGCUAUGGGAUGGCCCCGCGGUGCAUUAGCUAGUUGGUAAGGUAAAGGCUUACCAAGGCGAUGAUGCAUAGCCGAGUUGAGAGACUGAUCGGCCACAUUGGGACUGAGACACGGCCCAAACUCCUACGGGAGGCAGCAGUAGGGAAUCUUCCACAAUGGACGCAGGUCUGAUGGAGCAACGCCGCGUGAGUGAAGAAGGUUUUCGGAUCGUAAAGCUCUGUUGUUGGUGAAGAAGGAUAGAGGUAGUAACUGGCCUUUAUUUGACGGUAAUCAACCAGAAAGUCACGGCUAACUACGUGCCAGCAGCCGCGGUAAUACGUAGGUGGCAAGCGUUGUCCGAAUUUAUUGGGCGUAAAGCGAGCGCAGGCGGAAGAAUAAGUCUGAUGUGAAA